GGCAGCAUGUGACGAUGAGGAAGAGGCCCUGGCAGCAUGUGACGAUGAGUAAGAGGCUCUGGGGGGACGUCAUACACAAAGCAUGAGUGUGACAACAAUGUUUGGAUUGUUUUAACAGAUGAAAAUGAGUCUGAGAGAGAAAAAAAGAGACUGUCUUUAAAUUCUGCUCAAAUCUGGAGCAGAGGAUAGCAACUUUAUUGCAAAAAUACACAUGAACUUUAUUUGUUUCUAGCACAGCAUUUACAAACAAACUCUGAAUGAAAAUCUGUCAAGCUUUUAUAUGGGCAAAGCUCAUCCAUUAGGCUUAAAGGCUAUUCAAUGUCUGUACAAACAUUUAUAUACAUACUUCAACAGUCCCAGUAUGCGAUGGACCACCUACAUUUUGGUACAGUUUAAGGAUCAAGAAAAUGGACUCUGCUCAGUAGUCUGCUCAUUGUCCUCAAGGGGGCAGUGUUGCUCAACUGGCUGUUCUGUACACAUCACAUUGAUAAGCUCCUAACCUAAAAAGGUUGUCCACUUCAUUGAAACAUUGGCAGCUGAAUCACUGGACAAGGCUUUAUAGUUUAUAGUUGUGCUGGACUAAACCACAACCCAGGUCAGUUUCGGUUUACUCUAUUUUUGCAGUCUGAACAAAUCUUAAAGAUGAAUGCAGUCAAAAUUCUACAAUUCAAUAUAUGGUUUAGCAGAGAGUGAUCCUUGUCUAAGACAAGCCAUGGUAAGUAUUGAUUUAACAGAACAGCUACAAUCCAGUUUUCUCAGGACUUUUCAGUGAGUUAAAUCUGUUCGCCCCUGAAGAACCCUUUCCACUCUUGUGACCUGCAUAGUCUAUGGAGAGCCAUUCCCAUUGGUGUACUAGUAGCAUUUAGCCAGCAGUGUCAAAAAUAUAGAAAAAUAAAUGUAAAAAUAUGCAACAAAAAAAUAGGCAAAAACUUCAUCUUAAAACAAAACAAGUUUCAUUUUCAUUCCUUCAUUUAAACGGAACGCUUUAACAAAAAGCAUCUUUGUAAGGCUUUACAUUUAUUUUUCAUGUAAGUGAAAACAAAAACAAAAACUACAACAUUAAAAAAAAAAACAUUGGGAGCUGUGACGAGGUCCCAUGAUGCUACAUCUCUGCCCUUGCUAACGCUAGGUGACCCCCAAUGUAACCUGCCUGCCCUUGCUAACGCUAGGUGACCCCCAAUGUAACCUGCCUGCCCUUGCUAACGCUAGGUGACCCCCAAUGUAACCUGCCUGCCCUUGCUAAUGCUAAGUGACCCCCAAUGUAACCUGCCUGCCUAGAAAACGGGCAGACAUGUUGUUUUAAUGAGUACAUCUGCUUCAAAUUCAGUCAGUGUGUAAAAAAAGAUCCCUUGGGGGGGGGGGGGGGGAAUGGCAAAAUCAAGGAUUUGUGGUGUAACAGGGAAAUAUUGAACUGGAACUGUGGAGAUAGUAAUAGAAGAAUAAAUAACAUCGCCGCCGCCACCUCCUCUCUAAAGAAACCCCGACAAAUCUACCAAGUCUCAAACUCUAUAGCCAGAUCUGAAGAGGAAAACUCCUGUUUCAACAUGCAGGUUUUCCGUUUCGUCUGAUAAAAGCUGUAUGGCGCUUAUGGGUUGCAAACACCUGUGCCUCAAACAACCUAUCCUAGCGAACAAAAUAUAAAUAUUUCACAAAACGUUUCUCCCGGAACAUCGGAGAACAGCGACUUUUUUUUCCUCCUUACUAAAUCUUCUAGUGUGCUGCACUUCUGAAGUGCACUAAUUGGUGUGAACACUGUUACGUUCAUUGCAUGGCACUAAAAUAAACGAUUUUUGAAAAUAUCAUCGACAUAAACGAUCGUAAUCGACAUUAGUCAUCCUCUGCACAGCAACCAUGACACAUUAUGGUUGGAAAGCCCUUUACCUCUGCAAAACAAGAACCAGACAGUGCUAGGCUAUAGAUACACCAAAACGUCUGAAAAAGAAGUUAAUAGUAUACAGAUUAAUUAGUAAGAUAGUUGUGGUAACACUUGGAUUUUUAGUAAUCACUGAAAUGAUGAAGCAUUCAUAGUCUUAAUUACGCAUUAACAGUUCUGAGUAAAUAACUACUAAUUAAUUAAUUGUUAUGAUGGAUAUAAAUAAAACGAUUGGUUUGUGGGAGGGAGAGUAGCGUGCGUCUCGUUGCCUCUGACAGCUAAAUAAAAGGACCCUGAAUAGCAGAAAAGGAUUUCUUGCUCAAGAGAUCCACGUCUGAAUUGCAGUUGAUCUAAACCUUGUGGUCGCCUCUGCCUCAUCCAUCUGAUGGCUAUUCUAAAUCCCUCUCCCUCUCCACUGUCCCUCCCCCAGGCCCCCACCUCUCCACUGUCCCUCCCCAAGGCCCUCACCUCUCCAGUGUCCCUCCCCCAGGCCCUCUCCCUCUCCAGUGUCCCUCCCCCAGGCCCUCACCUCUCCAGUGUCCCUCCCCCAGGCCCUCUCCCUCUCCAGUGUCCCUCCCCCAGGCCCUCUCCCUCUCCAGUGUCCCUCCCCCAG
ensembl:lncRNA